rfam:Oryza glaberrima chromosome 4 Oglab04_0204_57, whole genome shotgun sequence.
CAUGAUUUCUGUGUCCAACAUUUAACUGUCCGUCUUAUUUAAAAAAAUUAAAAAGACAAGUCGCGCAUAAAAUAUUAAUCAUAUUUUAUCACCUAACAACAAUAAAAAUACGAAUUAUAAAAAAAAUUUCAUAUAAGACGGACAGUCAAAAUUGGACACGGAAAUUCAGAGUUUUACCAUUU